rnacentral:tRNA from 1 species
GCGGGGAUGUCGGAGCGGUCAAACGAACGUGGUUUAGGCCCACGUGGCUUAGUGCCUGCAGAGGUUCAAAUCCUCUUCCCCGCA